UGUUAUUCUUAAUGUGCACUAUUCCACGUGUAUUUGUAUCAAAGUACCAUGUGUUACAUUAUCCAGGCAUUAAUCCAGACAUUAUAAAAAGAGUAUUUGGCUUCGGGAGUCCGUUUGGAAUAUACUCGUGCAAAAAUACAUGUGCAAAUAUAAAUAGGACAUAUAUUUAUGCAUCAGCGCACUUUAUUCAUCUCACUCACAUAAAAACAGAUUAUUUACUCCUCAAAAUGCAUCAACACCAUGGAAAGAACAUAAUGAAACAGUUAUGCCAAAUUAGGUAAAUGAAUGCUUUAAAUGUGCACUCAGUAAUUCUAAUCCAAUACACUUUUUGUAAAAUUCUGCAAAUAUUUCCUCACAGUCUGCUAGCUGUCCAUUCUGUGGGUGGGCUGAAUUUUUUUUAGGAUUUGUACACAGCACUGGCUCUGUAAAUGGGACAAAAACAAAGUGGAACAGUCCGAUCCGCACAACACUACUCAAGCCAAUCAGCAACAGGGGGUGGUUCUUGCACGUGCACAGGAUGGGGGGUGGGGGCAGAGUGACGGGGAAUUUAAUUAGAAGAGCGACGGCAAAUCUGGCUGAAGUGAACUUUCUAAACUCCAGGGAGGACAAAUGGCUGAGAAACAGACCAAGAGAAAAAGGUCAGACAUAUAUAAACUAAAAAAGAAGGAUUAUGAUAAGUAGAGGGCUAGCAAACUUGUGUCAACACCGGCUUGAAAACGGAUCUUUUUCUUCUUGAUAGGUUUGGCUGCAGUUUCCAAGUAAAAUGUCCAGCGGGGGGCACCAAAACCAAGAGAAAUGAGGUUGUAAUCAGACAAGGUUUUUAAGAUUCUAUGGCACUUUCACUUUCCUGAGUCUUUGGCUGGACUCAAACUGCGAUCGACGAGUUCAAAGUCCAACUCUCUAUCAGGUGAUCUACCAAGCAAGCUAAUCACAUUGGAAUAAGUGUGUAAAUGUACAGUAGAUACAAGCAUUGAAAUGUUUCCUUUUUCAAAUGAUGCGUUAGAGUAAAAGUGUUUUGAUAUCAUCACAUCAAGUGGGGGGUGAGUAAUAGAGUGAAAAAUACAUGU